UACGGAGGGUGCUAGCGUUGUUCGGAAUCAUUGGGCGUAAAGCGCGUGUAGGCGGGUUGGCAUGUCCGUUGUGAAAACCCUCGGCUCAACCGAGGAACUGCAGCGGAAACUGCCAGUCUUGAGUACGGGAGAGGGAAGGGGAAUUUCCAGUGGAGUGGUGAAAUACGUUGAUAUUGGAGGGAACACCGGUGGCGAAGGCGGCUUCCUGGACCGUCACUGACGCUGAGACGCGAAAGCGUGGGGAGCAAACAGG
rnacentral:rRNA from 1 species